AUUGAACGCUGGCGGAAUGCUUUACACAUGCAAGUCGAACGGCAGCACGGGAGCUUGCUCCUGGUGGCGAGUGGCGGACGGGUGAGUAAUAUAUCGGAACGUGUCCAUUAAUGGGGGAUAACUAGUCGAAAGAUUAGCUAAUACCGCAUACGCCCUGAGGGGGAAAGCUAGGGAUCUUCGGACCUGGCGUUAAUGGAGCGGCCGAUAGCUGAUUAGGUAGUUGGUGGGGUAAAGGCCUACCAAGCCUGCGAUCAGUAGCUGGUCUGAGAGGACGACCAGCCACACUGGGACUGAGACACGGCCCAGACUCCUACGGGAGGCAGCAGUGGGGAAUUUUGGACAAUGGGGGCAACCCUGAUCCAGCCAUUCCGCGUGAGUGAAGAAGGCCUUCGGGUUGUAAAGCUCUUUCGCAAGGGAAGAAAACUUAUCCUCUAACAUAGGGUGAGGCUGACGGUACCUUGACAAGAAGCACCGGCUAACUACGUGCCAGCAGCCGCGGUAAUACGUAGGGUGCGAGCGUUAAUCGGAAUUACUGGGCGUAAAGCGUGCGCAGGCGGCCUUAAAAGUCAGAUGUGAAAUCCCCGAGCUCAACUUGGGAACUGCGUUUGAAACUCUAACGCUAGAAUAUGUCAGAGGGGGGUAGAAUUCC
rnacentral:rRNA from 1 species